rnacentral:rRNA from 1 species
UACGAAGGGGGCUAGCGUUGCUCGGAAUUACUGGGCGUAAAGGGCGCGUAGGCGGCGAUCUCAGUCAGGCGUGAAAGCCCCGGGCUCAACCUGGGAACUGCGCUUGAGACGGGGUUGCUUGAGGACGGGAGAGGGUGGUGGAAUUCCCAGUGUAGAGGUGAAAUUCGUAGAUAUUGGGAAGAACACCGGUGGCGAAGGCGGCCACCUGGCCCGUUACUGACGCUGAGGCGCGAAAGCGUGGGGAGCAAAC